GUUUAUUUGAAAAGCUACCAAACAGACUUAGUUUAAUUUCACAAUUUGGCACUUAUACUGUUAACAACAAGAUUUCCCUUUUCUGGCUAUAAAAUGAACGUUGAGUAUUAUUAAGUUGCUGUCCUUCCUUUCAGAUCUUCAGUUAUACAAUGGAACAUUUAAGUCAUCUUCAGUUACAAAACUGUAGCCAUUAAAGUGUAGCAUGUUUAAGAUUACUAUCUCCUGGAAUCCACUGAUCUAUGCAAUUUCUGUCACGCUGGAGAAGGCAAUGUUUGACUUGACAUUAGUUUUUUGUUCUUCCAUAUUGUAGAUGACACACUGUCAUUCCUUUUUCAUUUUACCUGCAGGAUAGUGGCAUUUUAAAGAAACAGAAGUAACCUUGUUGGGCUGUCAGUGUUCGGCCACUCCUGGAAUUCUUUUCUUCUACCUGGGGAAUCAUAACAGCCACAAUUUCAGGUGAAAAGUUAGAAAUUCUGUGAGCUAAUGGAUCAACUGGAAUGACUGUGCUGAUUCUGGAGCGAUUACAUGAGUUUCUGUACUGCAAAAUCUUGCAUUGCCACAAUACCUUGAAUGGUCAAGCACUACCCCUGAUGGAUAUUGUGCAAGAAAAGCACUAAGAAAACCCUCACAAACAUCCCAACCUUCCAUGUAGUGUGACUACUUCAAGCACAUGUGUGAACUGAUCAGCACUGGUUUAUGGCUGCCUUUAUAUGACUCCCAUUAGAGCUAACAUUUUGAAUAUCUCAGCAUAAGGACACUGGGAUUUGCUAUUGAUUUUCCACACUUCCUACACCUUGAAGUUUGCAUUAAAAUCCAGCUCAAGCAAGAGUGACACUUUUUGUUCCUGUUUAAAAGUCACACAUUUAUUA
rnacentral:lncRNA from 1 species